rnacentral:rRNA from 1 species
AUUGAACGCUGGCGGCAGGCUUAACACAUGCAAGUCGAGCGGAGCCUUCGGGCUUAGCGGCGAACGGGUGAGGAAUGCCUGGGAAUCUGCCUGUUAGUGGGGGAUAACGUUCCGAAAGGAACGCUAAUACCGCAUACGUCCUACGGGAGAAAGCAGGGGACCUUCGGGCCUUGCGCUAACAGAUGAGCCCAGGUCGGAUUAGCUAGUUGGUGGGGUAAAGGCUCACCAAGGCGACGAUCCGUAGCUGGUCUGAGAGGAUGAUCAGCCACACUGGAACUGAGACACGGUCCAGACUCCUACGGGAGGCAGCAGUGGGGAAUAUUGGACAAUGGGGGGAAACCCGUGAUCCAGCCAUGCCGCGUGUGUGAAGAAGGCCUCGGUUGUUAAAGGUACUCUUUCGGUCCGGGAACGGAAAGUACGC